UGAGUCUGGCUAGGGAAGUCCCCGUGUAUC
rnacentral:piRNA from 1 species